rnacentral:piRNA from 2 species
UCAAAUACACUGUGGUUCUGACUGGGCUUA